GCUCGACAUUGUUUUUUCCAUCGAUUUACCUUCAAUUCGACGUCGAUUAUCGUCGACGCAAAUAGUUUGACAGUUCUCUUCAGUUGAUCUUGUUCGGACUUGAUCAAAUCAGAAAAACAAUAUUGUUGUAAAGGUUCGUGAGGAUUUUGGCUGGUUGAUUGACUUCCUGAUUUCAGCCUUCGCGACGGUGGAAGAGAACGUGAAACAUCGUUAACCCGGCGGAUCAUGCCGGAAGAUGGGACGGGAAGGAUGGGACGGUCUGCGAUCGAAAGCGGAUUGGGAUCUGUAUCAAACAGUCUCCAAACAGGACAAUGAAAGUGUUGGUGGUGUUUGAUUUUUAGAGAAUGUCAAAAUCGCCAUUAUCAAUACUAAGACCUGGAAAAAAGAACAAACUUGCGGCCGAGUACAACCUCUGAGUGAAAGCGAUGGAGGUGAACGAACUACUCACGGGGCAGCUCACGAAUUCUACCGGAUUGGCCAUCAUCAAGCGAAAUUUGGAAAAUUGUGACUGCAGUGAUAGUGAAUAUUUGGAAAACAAAGUGCCAGGCCAGUGAAAACUAAUAGAUAUCAAUAAAAAUCAGCAAAACAACAAACGAAACUAUUGGCACUACGCCCCCCGGGGCAUGGCCUUCCUCUAACGUGGGAUUUCUGCUCCAGCGCCUCUGACGAGACAGGAGAAACCGGGACCGACGUUUUACUUCACCAUCCGAUAGAAGCUCAGUGGAUAAGGCGGGAAUCGAACCCGCGUCUCAUAGCAUCAUCGGGAUCGGCAGCCGAAGCCGCUACCCCUGCGCCACGAGACCCACACAACAACAAAUAA